UGGGGAAUAUUGCACAAUGGGCGCAAGCCUGAUGCAGCCAUGCCGCGUGUAUGAAGAAGGCCUUCGGGUUGUAAAGUACUUUCAGCGAGGAGGAAGGCGUUGUGGUUAAUAACCGCAACGAUUGACGUUACUCGCAGAAGAAGCACCGGCUAACUCCGUGCCAGCAGCUGCGGUAAUAAGGAGGGAGCAAGCGUUAAUGGGAAUUAGUGGGCGUAAAGCGCACGCAGGCGGUCUGUCAAGUCGGAUGUGAAAUCCCCGGGCUCAACCUGGGAACUGCAUCCGAAACUGGCAGGCUAGAGUCUUGUAGAGGGGGGUAGAAUUCCAGGUGUAGCGGUGAAAUGCGUAGAGAUCUGGAGGAAUACCGGUGGCGAAGGCGGCCCCCUGGACAAAGACUGACGCUCAGGUGCGAAAGCGUGGGGAGCAAACA
rnacentral:rRNA from 1 species